rnacentral:rRNA from 1 species
GCAAGUCUGGUGCCAGCAGCCGCGGUAAUUCCAGCUCCAGUAGCGUAUAUUAAAGUUGUUGCAGUUAAAAAGCUCGUAGUUGAAUUUCGGGAUCAAUAUUUCGGUCAUGCCGUUGGUAUGCACUGUUAUCAUUGAUUUCUCACCUUCUAAAGAACCAUAAUGCCAUUAAUUUGGUGUUACGGGGAAUUAGGACUGUUACCUUGAAAAAAUUAGAGUGUUUAAAGCAGGCUCACGCUUGAAUACAUUAGCAUGGAAUAAUGAAAUAGGACAUCCGAUUCUAUUUUGUUGGUUUCUAGGAUCGAUGUAAUGAUUAAUAGGGAUAGUUGGGGGCAUUAGUAUUCAAUUGUCAGAGGUGAAAUUCUUGGAUUUAUUGAAGACUAACUACUGCGAAAGCAUUUGCCAAGGAUGUUUUCAUUAAUCAAGAACGAAAGUUAGGGGAUCGAAGACGAUCAGAUACCGUCGUAGUCUUAACCAUAAACUAUGCCGACUAGGGAUCGGAUGAUGUUAAUUUUUUAAUGACUCAUUCGGCGCCUUACGGGAAAC